UGAGACUUGUGUGUGCUGCAUAGCCUGUCU
rnacentral:piRNA from 1 species